UACGUAGGGGGCUAGCGUUGUUCGGAUUCAUUGGGCGUAAAGGGUGCGUAGGUGGCGCCGUAAGUCGGGUGUGAAAUUUCGGAGCUUAACUCCGAAACUGCAUUCGAUACUGCGGUGCUUGAGGACUGGAGAGGAGACUGGAAUUCCUGGUGUAGCGGUGGAAUGCGCAGAUAUCAGGAGGAACACCGGUGGCGAAGGCGGGUCUCUGGGCAGUAACUGACGCUGAGGAGCGAAAGCGUGGGGAGCGAACAGG
rnacentral:rRNA from 1 species